GGGAAAUGGCGGCGGCGGCGGCCGUGGGGCGGGCGGUGUGCGGGGCGCUCCUUCUGCACUGCGGUUACACGGAGCUGCCCGCGAAGCUCACGUGAGAGAGAGCGGCCGUGUGAAUUCACGGCUUCUCUCGCUGCCCGCACGGCCCAGCGCCCACAGUGCCCGGGCGGCCGCUCCUGAAAGGCACAGGAACCCCAGCAGCCACCAACAGCAGAGCUCCGCUCCUGUGAGGAAUGUGGAACGCCGUGUGCCCGGCCCCACUAAUGCCAGCCCACACGCCUCCCCAGAACAAAGCUGUUCUGUGUUUCUCCAGCCAAGGACGACCUCUUUCAAUGACACAGGGCGUGUAAGUCAAGCUGCCGGCACAGCAUCCCCAUUCUCACAGAUGGCCUCUGUUCCAAAGCUCCCUUGGGGCUCGGUCAGCCCCUUGGGAUUUAUAUCUCGCCUCCUCCUGGCUCCAGUGUCACCACAGCGGUGGGCACACGGGGAGAAAUCACACCCAGGUGUGUUGUUCCCAUCCCUCUGCCAUCAGCUUGUGCUUACUGGCCUUACAGGCAGCUGGCUGUGGAGGACCCCAAUGAGACAGAGAGAUGCUCUUCACUGUGUCAGCUACUAGGAGGAAAAUACAGGAAAUGUGACAAUACAGAAAACAACAUGGUAGCUGCAGAAGAAUACCCAUCACACACAGCAUUUGGAUGCCACAUGGAAUUCAGAAGCAGUGCUUUCCAAAGCUCAUCCAGCACUCACGCAGUACAUCUCGGUGAGAGAAGGUUUGAGCAAUGCCAGUAAUAUCUGCUCGUCUUUUAACACAAAUAAUAUCAAAUAAAUUAAAACCAAAGUUGAAAAUGUAAUUGUUUUCUGUGACCUUGGAAGCGUUGACACAAACAGAAGUAUCAGAAUUCUUUUCAUAGCUGCUAAUAGGCAGCUGGAAAUAAAAAAAUGAUGACAAUGGAUUUUCUAAGACGGGGUAUAAGCCUGCAUUGGGAACCUAAGAGGCACAGGAACACUUACAAAUCAAACUGGCAACACAUUAUCACUGGCAGAUGGCAAC
rnacentral:lncRNA from 1 species